rnacentral:rRNA from 1 species
UCCUACGGGAGGCAGCAGUGGGGGAUAUUGCGCAAUGGGGGCAACCCUGACGCAGCAACGCCGCGUGAAGGAUGAAGGUUUUCGGAUUGUAAACUUCUUUUAUUAAGGACGAAACUUGACGGUACUUAAUGAAUAAGCUCCGGCUAACUACGUGCCAGCAGCCGCGGUAAUACGUAGGGAGCAAGCGUUGUCCGGAUUUACUGGGUGUAAAGGGUGCGUAGGCGGCUUUGCAAGUCAGAUGUGAAAUCUAUGGGCUCAACCCAUAAACUGCAUUUGAAACUGUAGAGCUUGAGUGAAGUAGAGGCAGGCGGAAUUCCCCGUGUAGCGGUGAAAUGCGUAGAGAUGGGGAGGAACACCAGUGGCGAAGGCGGCCUGCUGGGCUUUAACUGACGCUGAGGCACGAAAGCGUGGGUAGCAAACAGGAUUAGAUACCCUGGUAGUCC